GACGAACCGUGCGACCGUUAUUCGGAAUCACUGGGCUUAAAGGGUGCGUAGGCUGCGAGGCGGGUGGGGUGUGAAAUCCCUCGGCCUAACCGAGGAAUUGCGCUCCAAACCGCCUUGCUGGAGUGAGACAGAGGUGAGCGGAACUAAUGGUGGAGCGGUGAAAUGCGUUGAUAUCAUUAGGAACACCAGAGGCGAAGGCGGCUCACUGGGUCUCAACUGACGCUGAUGCACGAAAGCUAGGGUAGCAAACAGG
rnacentral:rRNA from 1 species